GAUGAACGCUGGCGGCAGGCCUAACACAUGCAAGUCGAACGGUAGCACAGAGAGCUUGCUCUCGGGUGACGAGUGGCGGACGGGUGAGUAACGUCUGGGAAACUGCCCGAUGGAGGGGGAUAACUACUGGAAACGGUAGCUAAUACCGCAUAACGUCGCAAGACCAAAGUGGGGGACCUUCGGGCCUCACACCAUCGGAUGUGCCCAGAUGGGAUUAGCUAGUAGGUGGGGUAAUGGCUCACCUAGGCGACGAUCCCUAGCUGGUCUGAGAGGAUGACCAGCCACACUGGAACUGAGACACGGUCCAGACUCCUACGGGAGGCAGCAGUGGGGAAUAUUGCACAAUGGGCGCAAGCCUGAUGCAGCCAUGCCGCGUGUAUGAAGAAGGCCUUCGGGUUGUAAAGUACUUUCAGCGGGGAGGAAGGCGGUGGAGUUAAUAACUUCACCGAUUGACGUUACCCGCAGAAGAAGCACCGGCUAACUCCGUGCCAGCAGCCGCGGUAA
rnacentral:rRNA from 1 species